UUUCAGACAAGACAAAUACACCCAGCCUCCCAAAGUCUUCCCAAACCGAAAUAUAGAUGGAAGCAAAGGUGGUAUUUUCUUCCUCAGAACGCAAGCAGCUGUGAGCUGAAACAAAGUAAGAUGAUGAGAGAGAAGCAGCACCAGUAGCAACUUCACACCUGAAGGACUUGACAGGACUUAACACUGCACACCAACAUGUUAAAGAGUCAGUUUCUGCCUUUCAUUGGCUGCUUUAAGCCGUGAAUUGCAAGGACAAACUGGAGGGCAGAGAAGGACAAGUGACCCCAAAACUAGCUUCUGGUAUUGUUCGUUUCUCAAGACCUGGAACUAU